rnacentral:rRNA from 1 species
CGCGUAGGCGGAGCGCUAAGCGGGACCUCUAACCCGAGGGCUCAACCCCGGCCGGGUCCCGAACUGGCGCUCUCGAGUGCGGUAGGGGAGAGCGGAAUUCCCGGUGUAGCGGUGGAAUGCGCAGAUAUCGGGAAGAACACCGACGGCGAAGGCAGCUCUCUGGGCCGAAACUGACGCUGAGGCGCGAAAGCUGGGGGAGCGAACA